UGGGGAAUAUUGGACAAUGGGCGAAAGCCUGAUCCAGCAAUGCCGCGUGAGUGAUGAAGGCCUUAGGGUUGUAAAGCUCUUUUACCCGGGAAGAUAAUGACUGUACCGGGAGAAUAAGCUCCGGCUAACUCCGUGCCAGCAGCCGCGGUAAUACGGAGGGAGCUAGCGUUGUUCGGAAUUACUGGGCGUAAAGCGCACGUAGGCGGCUUUGUAAGUUAGAGGUGAAAGCCUGGUGCUCAACACCAGAACUGCCUUUAAGACUGCAUCGCUUGAAUCAUGGAGAGGCGGGUGGAAUUCCGAGUGUAGAGGUGAAAUUCGUAGAUAUUCGGAAGAACACCAGUGGCGAAGGCGGCCCGCUGGACAUGUAUUGACGCUGAGGUGCGAAAGCGUGGGGAGCAAACA
rnacentral:rRNA from 1 species